rnacentral:rRNA from 1 species
UCUAAGUUGAGCGUGUUAAUGGAUUCACGUGUAAGCAGUGAGGUGGUCAUGUAGGCAAAUCCGCAUGGCAUAACAUUGAGCUGUGAUGCCGAAGCCGUAUGGCGAAGUCAACUGAUGUCACGCUUCCAAGAAAAGCUUCUAGGGUUAAUUUAGUAAGUGCCCGUACCGAUAACCGACACAGGUAGGCGAGGAGAGAAUCCUAAGAUGAGCGAGAGAACUCUUGUUAAGGAACUCGGCAAAAUGACCCCGUAACUUCGGGAGAAGGGGUGCUUGUGAAAGCAAGCCGCAGUGAAUAGGCCCAGGCGACUGUUUAUCAAAAACACAGGUCUCUGCUAAACCGCAAGGUGAUGUAUAGGGGCUGACGCCUGCCCGGUGCUGGAAGGUUAAGAGGAGAGGUUAGCGCAAGCGAAGCUUUGAAUUGAAGCCCCAGUAAACGGCGGCCGUAACUAUAACGGUCCUAAGGUAGCGAAAUUCCUUGUCGGGUAAGUUCCGACCCGCACGAAAGGCGUAACGAUCUGGGCGCUGUCUCAACAAGAGACUCGGUGAAAUCAUAGUACCUGUGAAGAUGCAGGUUACCCGCGACAGGACGGAAAGACCCCGUGGAGCUUUACUGUAGCUUGAUAUUGAGCACUGGUGACACAUGUACAGGAUAGGUAGGAGACGAAGAAGCCAGGACGCCAGUCUUGGUGGAGUCGCUGUUGGGAUACUACCCUUGUGUUACUGGGGUUCUAACCCGUGGCCAUGAUCUGGUCAGGGAACAGUGUCAGGUGGGCAGUUUGACUGGGGCGGUCGCCUCCCAAAGAGUAACGGAGGCGCCCAAAGGUUCCCUCAGAAUGGUUGGAAAUCAUUCGAAGAGUGUAAAGGCAGAAGGGAGCUUGACUGCGAGACCUACAAGUCGAGCAGGGACGAAAGUCGGGCUUAGUGAUCCGGCGGUACCGAAUGGAAGGGCCGUCGCUCAACGGAUAAAAGCUACCCCGGGGAUAACAGGCUGAUCUCCCCCAAGAGUUCACAUCGACGGGGAGGUUUGGCACCUCGAUGUCGGCUCAUCGCAUCCUGGGGCUGUAGUCGGUCCCAAGGGUUGGGCUGUUCGCCCAUUAAAGCGGUACGCGAGCUGGGUUCAGAACGUCGUGAGACAGUUCGGUCCCUAUCCGUCGUGGGCGUAGGAAAUUUGAGAGGAGCUGUCCUUAGUACGAGAGGACCGGGAUGGACACACCGCUGGUGUACCAGUUGUUCUGCCAGGAGCAUAGCUGGGUAGCUACGUGUGGACGGGAUAAACGCUGAAAGCAUCUAAGCGUGAAGCCCCCCUCAAGAUGAGAUUUCCCAUUCGAAAGAAGUAAGAUCCCUUGAAGACGACAAGGUAGAUAGGUCAGAAGUGGAAGUGUGGUGACACAUGGAGCGGACUGAUACUAAUCGAUCGAGGACUUAACC